rnacentral:rRNA from 1 species
AUUGAACGCUGGCGGCAGGCUUAACACAUGCAAGUCGAGCGGGGUGAUGGUGCUUGCACUAUCACUUAGCGGCGGACGGGUGAGUAAUGCUUAGGAAUCUGCCUAUUAGUGGGGGACAACAUCUCGAAAGGGAUGCUAAUACCGCAUACGUCCUACGGGAGAAAGCAGGGGAUCACUUGUGACCUUGCACUAAUAGAUGAGCCUAAGUCGGAUUAGCUAGUUGGUGGGGUAAAGGCCUACCAAGGCGACGAUCUGUAGCGGGUCUGAGAGGAUGAUCCGCCACACUGGGACUGGGACACGGCCCAGACUCCUACGGGAGGCAGCAGUGGGGAAUAUUGGACAAUGGGGGGAACCCUGAUCCAGCCAUGCCGCGUGUGUGAAGAAGGCCUUAUGGUUGUAAAGCACUUUAAGCGAGGAGGAGGCUCUUUUGGUUAAUACCCAAGGUGAGUGGACGUUACUCGCAGAAUAAGCACCGGCUAACUCUGUGCCAGCCGCCGCGGUAA